rnacentral:lncRNA from 13 species
GAUGCAAACCUAAGCUGGUGUCACAUGAAUAGGUUUGUGUUGAAAAGAAGCCCUCAAGACUGGAUUUUUCACUUUCACUUAUUUGCUGCCUGUGUUUUCAGGGUUCUUCUUGUUACUAGUUUUUGUGCUUGGCAGACUUAUAAGUGAUAGAGAGAGAAGAAUCUUUGGAUGCAGCCAAUUACUGCAGUUCAGGGCUGGAAACCCUCCCAGCCAUGCAGCUGGUCAGGUGAUUGUGUGUCCAGAAAAAGAGGUAAGGCACACAGUGCAGACUGAGGCUGAGGAAAACAAGGUAAAAGCAAGGAAGAUGGAGGCAUACUGCCUUCACAGCAGCAGGAGAAGGGUCUCUGCUCGUUUUUCACAUUGGCAUUGAUUCACAUCUGGGGUGAAAUGCCGUGUUGCUGUAACAGGACUGCAGUAACUGGACUAAGAAAAAGAGAGUAGAAAACUACCCAAGAGGCUUCGGGCAAUCAACGAGGAGCCUGUGCUGUGAGCACUAAGUCUGCUUGUGAACGGGUCAGGGCCAUGAGUGGGCAGUGACCUGACCCAGAGGAACCACAGCAACACCCAGGACCAGCAGGAGAAUAUUUGGGACAAUCUGGACUGAAAAACUCAAGAACAAAUGAUAGAUCUGAGAUAGAAAUGAGAAUUUAAAAGCAGGCAUUUGGGGAGCAAUGUCCUUGGACAGGGUUUGUUUCUAUCAGUGUCCCUCUGGUGGAGAGUUAAGCUCUAAUUCUGGAGGACAAAUGCACCUCAUCCUAAAGGAUCUUCCUUUCCCUUCAGAGAAUUCAUUCCUUGUUCCUUUUUUAUAUGGUUUAUAAUUUAACUGUCUGAUACAUGUCUGUUUCAAGAACAUUUAACACUAAUCCUCCGUGAAUUUUGAGUAGACUAACUGCUAACUCCGUGAAUUUUGAGUAGACUAACAGAAUAUACUGUUCAGCUCUCCAGGCUGGUGAGGCUGGGCUGGAACCUUUCCUUGUUUACAGGUGCUUGUCAACAGAUGCUAGUGCAAGGCUGCUGCUGCUGGUGUGGAUUAGGAAAAAUGGAGACAAAAGAAAGCAAGGCCAUGUUCUAGCAAAAGACCAUUGACUUAACUUUAAUUCUACCUUCAGAAAUGGUAUGCUUCCAACAGCUUACUGUAUUCCUUCAAAUAAUCCUUUUUUAAAAGUUUAAUGUAAAAUCUUUAAAAUAUUAUAGCAUAUAGCAUAAGAUUUCAAGCUUGUGAUGUGACCUGUUGUCAUGAUUAUUAAUUUCCCAAAUCAAGAAAUGUGGAUUAUGACUACUUAAAGAAUUUGUAUUGCUUUUGCUGUUUAAUGUAAUAAUUUCACAUCUUAGAAAAAUGUCAUACAUUUAGCUAAGUAUGUCACAUUUUAAGCACAUGUGAAAUUGUUUUUCAUUAAA